CCCUUAGAUGUCCUGGGCCGCACGCGCGUUACACUGAUGCAUUCAACGAGCUUAUAACCUUGGCCGAGAGGCCUGGGCAAUCUUGUUAACGUGCAUCGUGAUAGGGAUAGAUUAUUGAAAUUAUUAAUCUUGAACGAGGAAUUCCUAGUAAACGCAGAUCAUCAAUCUGCAUUGAUUACGUCCCUGCCCUUUGUACACACCGCCCGUCGCACCUACCGAUUGAAUGCUCAGGUGAGCCAUUCGGACUUUCAUCAUGCUGGUUUCCAGUUUUGAUGAAGGAAAGUCUUGCGAACCUUAUCAUUUAGAGGAAGGAGAAGUCGUAACA
rnacentral:rRNA from 1 species